UUAUCCUUUUUAGCUCUUUAUGACCUUUAAAGCAAUUUAAUAGAAUAUACCUUUGUGAACAAAUUGAAACAUUUAUCUUUUUCCCUACCUGAAUUCUUCAGAACUCAGAAACUCUAAGUAUUCUUAUAUUUAUUUGCAUAAGUUCAAUAGAAUUCUGUUCUCCCUGUAACAGGACACAAUUGGAAACAUUUGUUAUAUAACCAAGGCUUUGACUGGAAUGUCCUAUUUGAGAAAGAGAUGGAUAAACUGAGAUGUGACCAGAUAGUUUUAAAUGACCAGACAGCUUUAAGGAACUAGGUUGACUUUAAGAAGCCAGUAAAGCCCCCAGAAGUACCAGUUUGGUACCCUGCUUACAGAGUUCCCAGCAGCCUUACCAGACUCCUACCUUCUCAGCUCACAGAAGCCUCAUGUUGCUGGUCUUCAAAAUAUUAUGUCUGUGUGGAUUCCCCAUACAUAACAAAAUUAAAUCUGAUACUCUCCUCAUCUGUCUCAUGUCAACUUGGUUCUUAGUCCAGCUAGAAGAACUUUGCCGGCCAGAGAAAAUUGUUCUUUCUGGAUAUAGCAGUUCUGCAUGGCUGGAAGAAAUCCUACUUGAUCUCUAGGGAAGAUGAGUGGAUGCAGCUUCCUUAAAUUUCUUCUGUGCUCCUGUUCAAAAGAGACCAUCAACACUGUUGCAAAGAAGGAAAGCGAUGUAUACUAGGUGCCAAACUCCUGACUAGCAAGAGCACAGACCUGCUUCAGAAGGACAAAAUCGGCAGACGGUGGCAAAGGCUAUUGUCAAACACCUGCAGUGCCUCAAAUCUGCUGUUACCUGCAUCCCUAUUGAGAGGACUAACCUAGGAGAAGAGGCAGAUUCCUCUGACAGCAAGGCUGUUUCCCUCCUCAAGUGAUGCUAGAGAGAGACCAAGGAAAAUACAGUGACUCUACAGCCACAUUGGGAUGUGGCCCAGCUACCUUUUGCAAACUGAAUCCCAAUGGACUUGACUUCAAAACCCAACCCAGAACCAGUGAAUUUAAGACCACAGAUUUCUGCAGAUUACAAAUGGAUUUUUUUUUUUUUAGUUGAAAUAAGAUGGUGUAUGAUGUUUUCCAUCUUGCCCCUCAUGAGGAACACUUCCCAGACCUCAGUGUGUGACCAUCUGCUCAUCUCUGCCUGAGACUGUUCAUCUGGCCACAAAGCUUCAACACUCAACUCCACACCAGGACUCCAAAGCCAAAUAUGAAAGCUAGGUUUUCUCAUGCCCACUUUUCGUCAGGUUUCUCCAGUUUCCAAGAGGAAUUUUCUCCUGGAUGUCCUCUUGUCACUUCAAACUCAAUGUGCACUAAAGUUGCUCUCUAUAACUCUUCUCUACUAUCCUACAAUACCCAUUCUCUCCUCUUCUCUUAUAGGAACAGAGCUUCCAAUUUUUGCUUGGUAUAAGAACUCCUGGAAUAAAAAACUCUGAGUGUGUUCAACUUCUGAGAAAUCCCUUAAAGAGAAAGAGUAGUCCUUCUAGCUUGAAGGACGAAAUGGUGGUACUCCAGCACCACCCUGAACUAUGUGCAUAGGAGCCCUACACUAGGUUUGGUGGAAUAGAAAGCUAG